rnacentral:rRNA from 1 species
GAGUUUGAUCGUGGCUCAGGAUGAACGCUGGCGGCGUGCCUAACACAUGCAAGUCGAACGGUCUCGCAAGAGAUAGUGGCGCACGGGUGAGGAACACGUAGCUUACCUGCCCUUUACACUGAGAUAACCCUGCGAAAGCAGGGCUAAUAUCGGAUAAGCUCACGGGAAAGAGAUAGCCUGUGAGAAAAGCUCCGGCGGUAAAGGAGGGGGCUGCGGCCCAUCAGCUUGUUGGUGAGGUAACGGCUCACCAAGGCGACGACGGGUCGGGGGCCUGAGAGGGUGACCCCCCACACUGGGACUGAGACACGGCCCAGACUCCUACGGGAGGCAGCAGUGAGGAAUAUUGCUCAAUGGGCGCAAGCCUGAAGCAGCGACGCCGCGUGGACGAUGAAGGUCUUCGGAUCGUAAAGUCCUUUUCUGUGUGACGAGGAAGGACGGUAGCACAGGAAAAAAGUGUCGGCUAACUACGUGCCAGCCGCCGCCGU